AGAACGAACGCUGGCGGCAGGCUUAACACAUGCAAGUCGAACGGUUGUAGCAAUACAGCAGUGGCAGACGGGUGAGUAACACGUGGGAACCUUCCUAGGGGUACGGAACAACUCAGGGAAACUUGAGCUAAUACUGUAUACGUCCGUGAGGAGAAAGAUUUAUCGCCCCUAGACGGGCCCGCGUAGGAUUAGGUAGUUGGUGAGGUAACGGCUCACCAAGCCUACGAUCCUUAGCUGAUCUGAGAGGAUGAUCAGCCACACUGGGACUGAGACACGGCCCAGACUCCUACGGGAGGCAGCAGUGGGGAAUCUUGGACAAUGGGCGCAAGCCUGAUCCAGCCAUGCCGCGUGAGUGAAGAAGGCCUUCGGGUUGUAAAGCUCUUUUACCAGGGACGAUAAUGACGGUACCUGGAGAAUAAGCCCGGCAAACUUCGUGCCAGCAGCCGC
rnacentral:rRNA from 1 species